UUGUUUUCAGUAUAAUCUCAUUGUCUUUAAUGAAAAUGCAACAAGGACCAUGAUAUGGUUUGGCUCUGUGUCUCCACCCAAAUCUCAUGUUGAAUUGUAAUCCUUGGUGUUGGGGUAGGGACCUGGUGGGAGGUGGUUGGAUCAUGGUGGGGGGGUUCCCCACUUGCUGUUCUCGUGAUAGUGGAUUAUCAUGAGAUCUGGUUGUUUAAAAGUGUGUAGCACUUCCCUUUGCUCUAUCACUCUCUCCUGCUGCCACGUGAAGAAGAUAUUUGCUUCCCCUUUGCCUUCCACCAUGAUUGUAAGUUUCCUGAGGCCUCCCAUUCAUGCUUCCUGUUAAGCCUGCAGAACCCUGACCGAAGAUGAAAUGGACUAUAUAGGGAG
rnacentral:lncRNA from 1 species